GACAGACACACACGCACACCCCCCACCCCUCCUCCCCACCCCUCGCUCGCUCCCUCUCUCCUCCCUCUCGUCGCUCUCUUCCUCCCUCCCUCCCUCUCUCUCUGCUGGCUUCAUCGGAGAGAGUUGCAGUUCCUUCUGGGCCUGUGUGGACUAGGGGCACAACGCGGCGCCUGACUGGCAGGAAGGGAAAGCGGAGACUCCUUCAGGUUUCCAAAGAGGUCCUAGUGGACAGCAUUAUUAUUACAGAAACCGUGUGGGUAAAGUGAACUCAUGUUUCCAGCGUGGUCCUCCUAGCUGGUUAGCUUCUCAUAGAUGACAGCUCAAUUGCUUGAUGAUGAUGAUUGAUUUAAGGCGACUGACCUGAAUAAAGGUCCUCUGGUGGCAGCAGCUAAGAGUGCUAAGCAGCUAGACUUGAAAAACUGCAAAAAUUAAUUUGCCUGGUUUUAGAGUGGGUUGAUUUGAUUUCUGUCCUCCUAUGUACACCCAGUGUCCUCUGACAAUUCAUUGAGGCAACAACCAGUAAUGAGGUUUGAAAUUCUUUUGUCAGCUGCAUCAGCUAGAAAAUGUACAAUGGACGCAGCAAAGCUUCGAGAGCAGCCGAAAGGUACAAAGCUCAUCAUAUAUGGGUAACCAAAUAUUCUUAACCAUGCUAUCUAUAUCUGUGAGUCUUCUGCAAAAUUAAGUUUCUCAGUGAUAAUUGGAUCAGCAGCACACAAUAACUGCUACUUGGAGAAAAAGGGAAAUAAUUCAAAUUAAUAUGUUAUGCAUUUGUAGAAAAAAGUGCAAUGAGCUUCCUGUGCAGUGUGUUUUCAAUUUUUCAUUCUAAUGGAGAAAAGAGGCAAAGUAGUAAAAAAAUAAUGUUAGCUGCUGGAGGCCAUUUGAUGUAAUAAAGUAGUCAGGAAUUUUUUUUUUUCCAAUUGUUAUUAUUUUGUUGUGUUGUUAUUCUU